rnacentral:misc_RNA from 1 species
AGAGGAGGAUUGUUACAAUCGUGAGCUGCUGCUAUCAAGAUGUUCAAGAUAAAGAGUCUACCGGAACUAAAAGGUUUACCGUCAAAUUUGAUCAGAGGCGACAUGGUUUGGGAAGAGAAGGGCCAUAGUGAAAUCUCCCAAAUUUUUAUUUCUCUAGAUAGAGAUUAUUUAAGUUGCAUUCAAUUUCAGUAUUUUGAAAAUGGGUCUUUGGUGCUUUCUCCUCCAUAU